AACGAACGCUGGCGGCAUGCCUAACACAUGCAAGUCGAACGAGACCUUCGGGUCUAUUGGCGCACGUGUGCGUAACGCCUGGGAACCUGCCCUUAGGUUCGGAAUCACUCCCUGAAAGGGGUGCUAAUACCGGUUAAUGUCUUCGGACCAAAGAUUUAUCGCCUUUGGAUGGGCCCGCGUUGGAUUAGCUAGUUGGUAGGGUAAAAGCCUACCAAGGCGACGAUCCAUAGCUGGUCUGAGAGGAUGAUCAGCCACACUGGGACUGAGACACGGCCCAGACUCCUACGGGAGGCAGCAGUGGGGAAUAUUGGACAAUGGGCGAAAGCCUGAUCCAGCAAUGCCGCGUGAGUGAUGAAGGCCUUAGGGUUGUAAAGCUCUUUUACCCGGGAUGAUAAUGACAGUACCGGGAGAAUAAGCUCCGGCUAACUCCGUG
rnacentral:rRNA from 1 species